UACGUAAGGGGCAAGCGUUGUCCGGAAUUACUGGGCGUAAAGGGCUCGUAGGCGGCCAACUAAGUCAGACGUGAAAUCCCUCAGCUUAACUGGGGAACUGCGUCUGAUACUGGAUGGCUUGGAUUCGGGAGAGGAAUGCGGAAUUCCAGGUGUAGCGGUGAAAUGCGUAGAUAUCAGGAGGAACACCGGUGGCGAAGGCGGGUCUCUGGGCCGAUACUGACGCUGAGGAGCGAAAGCGUGGGGAGCGAACAGG
rnacentral:rRNA from 1 species